rnacentral:rRNA from 1 species
UGGUGGAGUGAUUUGUCUGGUUAAUUCUGUUAACGAACGAGACCCCUCCCUGCUAAAUAGUUGGUUGAGUGAGUUCUUCACUCUUUACAACUUCUUAGAGGGACGUGCAUUUUCUUAGAUGCAGGAAGAUAGGGGCAAUAACA